AAAUAACUAGUCUCAAGAAAUUUAAGUAUGAUAUUUAAGGAAAUAAUUCUGGUAGACAAAUAUGCAUGCAUGGAUAUUUGUACAUAUGUAUGUAUAUGUAUGUAUGUAUUAUUUAUAUUUUAUUUGUUUGGUAUAUUUAAAAAGGAUAGGCUCCAAAAAUAAAAUUUGAAAAAGAUAUGGUAUACUUCUCAGCGGACACCGGUCUAGAUAAGUUCUAAGGAAGGACAAACUCCAUAUCCUCAUAAUUACUUUUAUUUUCUUUUUUGAAGAAAUUACUUUUCACUGUACUGUAAGGGCAUCAAUUUUUCUUCUAAAUUAACUUGAGCAUUUGGAUUCCAAAAAAAAUUAUCUAUAUAAAAGAUUUAAGACUACAAAAGGAAGUUGAAUUUUAAUGUUUUUCAAUUUUAAAUGCUAGGUCUUAAUAUGUAAGGUGCACUGGAAGAGUAAAAAUAAAAAAAUAAAAAAGCUUAGCUUUUGGAAUCUUUUGGAACGCAGGGAAUUCUAGGAAUCCCAUUGUAAUAGUAAAAAUUGUAGAUAGAGCUAUUUUAACAAGCCCAAACAUCACCACUUCUAUCUUUAUUGAUCCCAAAAGGCCAAAACUAAACCAAUUGUUGCUCUCAACGCGGAC
rnacentral:lncRNA from 1 species